ensembl:lncRNA
AUUCAUUACCCUUUUCUAUUCCCCGUGCAGACAAAUCAAUCCUCCGUGUGCACCUUCACACAAAGCAGGCCCUAUUGACUUUCAUGACUGAAUCUUUCAUCUUUCCCCUGUUUGUUUGUUUGCCCGUCUGUGAGCAAGGUCUUUAUAUUGUGUAACAGAAAUACCUUGUGGAAUAGAGGUGAAACUUACAUGGGCUUUUGAAUCAGGGGCAUUUCACACAAACACUCCAUUAUCUUAUUUUUUAAAGGUGACGUUAGCAUUACUGAUUAUCUUAUUUAUUUAUUUAAAGGUGACGUUAGCAUUACUGAUUAUCUUAUUUAUUUAAAGGUGACGUUAGCAUUACUGAUUAUCUUAUUUAUUUAAAGGUGACGUUAGCAUUACUGAUGAUCUUAUUUAUUUAUUUAAAGGUGACGGUAGCAUUACUGAUUAUCUUAUUUAUUUAUUUAAAGGUGACGUUAGCAUUACUGAUUAUCUUUUUUUUUUUUUUUAAAGGUGACGUUAGCAUUACUGAUUAUCUUAUUUAUUUAUUUAAAGGUGACGGUAGCAUUACUGAUUAUCUUAUUUAUUUAUUUAAAGGUGACGUUAGCAUUACUGAUUAUCUUUUUUUUUUUUUAAAGGUGACGUUAGCAUUACUGAUUAUCUUAUUUUUUUUUAAAGGUGACUGUAGCAUUACUGAUUAUCUUUUUUUUUUUUUUAAGGUGACGUUAGCAUUACUGAUUAUCUUAUUUAUUUAUUUAAAGGUGACGUUAGCAUUACUGAUUAUCUUAUUUAUUUAAAGGUGACGUUAGCAUUACUGAUUAUCUUAUUUAUUUAUUAUUUUAAAGGUGACGUUAGCAUUACUGAUUAUCUUAUUUUUUUUAAAGGUGACGUUAGCAUUACUGAUUAUCUUAUUUAUUUAUUUAAAGGUGACGUUAGCAUUACUGAUUAUCUUAUUUAUUUAUUAUUUUAAAGGUGACGUUAGCAUUACUGAUUAUCUUAUUUUUUUUAAAGGUGACGUUAGCAUUACUGAUUAUCUUAUUUAUUUAUUUAAAGGUGACGUUAGCAUCACUGACGUCACCGUUGCUCCCGGGCCGAUAGUCUGAAAACAUUGUGCCGUCUGACGUUAAGACUAUAUAUUGACAAGCCCUGUAAUCCAUUUGGAAAUAUAAUGAAAUUGAACCCACACAUGUACUGACAUGCUGAUUAACUUCUUGUCUGGUCACAGUAUUCAUUGAAUGAGGCAUAUCUACACUGAACGAGGCAUAUAUCUACACUGAACGAGGCAUAUAUCUGCACUGUGAAUGAGGCAUAUAUCUACACUGAACGAGGCAUAUAUCUGCACUGUGAAUGAGGCAUAUAUCUACACUGUGAACGAGGCAUAUAUCUACACUGAACGAG